UUGGAGGGCAAGUCUGGUGCCAGCAGCCGCGGUAAUUCCAGCUCCAAUAGCGUAUAUUAAAGUUGUUGCAGUUAAAAAGCUCGUAGUUGAACCUUGGGCCCAGCCGGCCGGUCCGCCUCACCGCGUGCACUGGCUCGGCCGGGCCUUUCCUUCUGGAGAACCCGGUGCCCUUUAUUGGGUGUCGUGGGGAACCAGGACUUUUACUCUGAAUAAAUUAGAUCGCUUAAAGAAGGCUCUUGCUUGAAUAUUCUAGCAUGGAAUAAUAGAAUAGGACGUGUGG
rnacentral:rRNA from 1 species